ensembl:lncRNA
GCCUGGGAAUGUGAGGAAGAAGGGUCGCCUGUCCUCUGCGGCCUUGGCAGGGAGCACCCCUGCGCAGGGGGCGGCUGGAGGGGGCGGCGUCGGGCGAGACGGGCAGGGGAGGCGGCAUCCUGUGCGGCGGCCCUGAAACCCUUAGGAUUGUGCGUCUUCGUACCGCGCAGAGCUGCGCCCGCGCCCCCAGUCAGUAUUUACGCGCUGCUGGCACGUCAGGCCUGUUCUGUAACUGAAGGGACAUAGGUGAUGGAGAGAACCCAUGACUGCCUUGCACACGUGUUUAAGUGGACGCAUGGCCACGCCGGCUGUGGAUGUCAAUCCGCCUGGGCUGUAGAAAUCCUAGCAGCAGUCCUGGAGGACUCCCCUUCUCUUCGGGACACACUCCAUGCUGCUCGCCUGCCGGUCAAACGCUCUGGGCGUUACGUGCAGGCUGCCCAGUUAGGUGAGAGAGUUGUAAACUCUUGAGAGACAGUGAAAUCCAGGAUUCUGUACUCAGAUGUUUCCUAGAAGUCGACAAUUUCUUGUUCGUUUUUAAAAGGCAAUGACGGGGUUCACCCACUGUGCAUUGUGUCCUGUAGAGUUAGGGGUGAGGUGGUGUCUGGUAAGUAGGGUUUUGCUCAGAAAAAGCUGGGGCCCUACCCGAGGACAGGAUGAGUGGGUAGGUAUAUACUUAUUUUUAAGUUAAACUUGUAUCAUUUUUGUCACUGUGCAACCCACCUUUACAAUUUACUGAUCAACUGUUGGUCUCAGUCUAGCUGGAUACAGAGGCUUCUCUUUCAGAGAGAAAAGCCCUUCCAGGGUCCUGUUCCUCCACGGGCUCCAGCCUCUGCCCCAGUGCCCUCAUAGCUCUGGAGUUUGCCAGCGUGGAGUGUGGAGGAUGGAGAGCCUGGAUUGGAAGUGUGGGAGCUGAACUCUUAAGAAAGAGAUGUUGUCCUUGUAAAGUCCUUCCCUUGUGAGAUGCAAGAAAUUAAAUGUCCCUUCCAAGGGCAUGUGGCUAUGCUGUCAGUGGAGGUAGACUGUGAGGAAAGUUCCACCUGGGUUGGGUGGAUGGUUUUGGUGGAGGGAGAGGCUUGUGACCUGAGGGCUAUGGCCUUGGAGGCUGGCCACACAGAGCCAGCCUGGGUCAGCAGGGUGCCUGGCGGGUGGUGGGUGACCUGGGAGUCUGGCUGUCAUCAACCCUGUGCUCCUUGCAGUCCUCUCUUGCCUGUGCUCCUGCUCCCAGCCUCCAGGAUGGCAGCAGUUCUGGCCUGUCUGAAAGCGAGGAGAGUGUGUUCUCAGGCCUGGAAGAUUCCGGCAGCGACAGUAGUGAGGAUGACCCCCCCAAGGAAGAGGAUGGGGUCAGCAGUGACGAGGGCCAUGGCGAGACGGAGAAGACCACUGAGCAGCAGGUGCAGAAUGGGACCCCCUCCCCAAGGACGGCGAUGGCGAGAGUGCAGGGCUGUGAAGAGUACGCGGAGGACAGUUCUGACGAGGAGGACAUCCGGAACACGGUGGGCAAUGUGCCCCUGGAGUGGUACGAUGACUUCCCCCACGUGGGCUACGACCUGGACGGCAGGCGCAUCUACAAGCCCCUGCGGACCCGUGACGAGCUGGACCAGUUUCUGGACAAAAUGGACAACCCUGAUUACUGGUGCGCAGGCUCGGGGCGGGGCCUGUGCGGGGGGCGGGGGGCUUCGGGCUUGGCUCUGAC